UGAGCCCCGUGGUCGGUCCCGGCCCCGGGGCUGGAGGCGUCGGCAUGUAAUUGGUAACUCUCACCGUCUCUUCAUAGGAUGGGGGCGCAGUGGGCACCGAGGAAGGCCCGGGAGCCGCCUGGUAAGGUCCUGGAACCGACAUUUUACCUACGGCAAAAACAGAAGACACCAGGGAUCGAACUCCGGACCUUGCACUUACGAGGCAGGUGCCGGAACCACUGAGCUAAAUGUCCGGCCCAACAGAAGCUUUCUUAAGUAAAGAUAAAAACUGCCCCCACCUGGAUUUACAAAUGCAGUCAGAGGAACCCUCGAGGAUGCUUCCUUUACGGUAACAGGAUGUGAAAUUCACCCCCUUGUAUGAGUCACCAAGACUGGAAUCAGGAUGAUCCUACCAAUAAACAGUGAGGCACAGUGGCACAUGCCUGUUAAUCCUAGCACUCGGGAGGCUGAGGCAGGAAGAUUGCUGCAAGUUCAAAGCUAGUCUGAGCUACAGGGUGAGACCCUAUCUCUCUCACACACACAAACACACACAAAUAAAUAAUUUAAAAAACAGGUGAAAAAACUGGGGCUCAAAGAGGUUAAGCUGCUUCUCCAAAGUCACACAGAGAGGCAGGAGAAAGGCUUGGAUUGACAGCCGCUGAACUCCAGAGUUCUUUAGACCAAAGCAUCUCUGCCAGGCCGGGAGGCAGGGAGACAAUCCCUGGCCUCCUUCUGCACACGUGCCCCCAAAUCUAACAAACCCACGGCAGGAAAGCACACGUGAACUUCCGAGGGGUCACUGCCUCCCCUCCGCCUCCCUAAUCUGCAGCAGCUGUGAGCGCUGUACUUUGACACAGCCCAGAUAGGGCUUAAAAGCAUACCUGCUGGUUAAUUUUGUCCCUGAGCUCUCUGCAAUUCCAAAUUCCGCUUCUUCCAUAAACAAGGACCAGGGUCUUCAUGAUCAGUCAGGUGUGGAUAUUCACAAGGCUCUUCCCGCUCGUGGUUGGGAAGAGCUCAGAAUUUCUCUGAAAUGAAAGGGCCCCCUGGGCUGCUUAGGCAAAGCAGCUUUCCCAGGCAGCAGGGUCCCUUGUGAAUGACAAGGGGACAGGGCAAGUUAUUUGGUCUAGGUUUUUUUUUUCAUUCAGUACUAAGGACUGAACCAAGGGCCUUCACACAGAGCUAUCCAUGCUCAGCCCUUUUUUAUUUUUUAUUUUGAAACAAGGUCUUGCUAAAUUGACCAGAAGCCUACAUGGAUCAUCUGGGCUCCCGGCCACGACAGUAAAUGAACCUCGAGACAUGGUGCUGCCAGGGAGAGGCCAGGCACAAAGGCUACAAACCCUGGGAUGCCGUUUAUGAGAUGCCCAGAACUGGUAGAUCCACAGAGAUACACAGCAGAUGGUUGUGACCAGGGAAGGCACUGAGAGGAAACAGGGUUCUCUAGGGGGUGAUGAACAUGCUCGGGAACCAGACAGUUGAGAGCUGCACAUCAUCAAUGUAUGAAACACCACCCAACUGUCUGCUUUCACAUGCUUAAUCUUAGCCAGCAGACACCUGUAAUCCUAGCACUCCGGGAGGCUGAAGCAGGGAGAUUACAAAUUCGAGCCCAGCCUGGGCAAUUUACCAAGAGCCUGUCUCAAAAAAUAAGUAAGUAAAUAAGGUUGGGGAUGUAGCUCAGUGCCAAUCCUAGGAUCAAUCCCCAGUGUUGCCAAAAAAAAAAAAAAGUUUAUAUUAUGUGACUUAUACCUCAAUAAAAGAGAAACAAGACAAGAAGCCUGCUCUCGCCCACUUUAGGGAGCUCUCAUUCACUCCUCCGCAGAGCUGUCUGCACAGUAUAGAGGUCAAGGUGCAGAGUCUGGAGCUGGACGGCCCAGUUUCAUGUCCAGGCUCCCCAGUGCCCCUUGGCCUGCCUUCAGUAGCUCAGUUUGCCAGUCUGUAAAACGGGCACACAGGCAGUUUCUUCCUCAUAAGUAAGGCUCUGGGAGGAUUAAAUGAACCCACUUGUGCAACGUACCUGGCUAGACGUGGGACACACAAGGACUCAGCCUGGUACAUGCCUGAAAUGUCAUGGGUCUUCACAGGUUGAGCCACCAAUCCAGCCUGCCCGGGACAGAGGUUUCCCUGUUACCAGCCCUUUGGUGCUACAUGUGGGCAAGUCCCAAGCCAAACAAGACAAGCUGAUCACCCUGAUGCUUCGAUAUUUGGAUUUGGUUUUUGUUUUUUGUACUGGGGAUCAAACUUGGGACCUUGCACUUGGAAAGCAGGCGGUGGAACCACUGAGCUAAAUUCCCGGCCCUUCAAUAAAUAUUUGUAGAAAACAGUAUCUACGGGUUUAAAAAGGUCACCAAGGGGCCGGGGAUUUAGCUCAGUGGUUUCGCCACCUGCUGCAUAAGUGCAAGGACCCGAGUUUGAUCCCCAGUACCCAAUAAAUAAAUGAAUGAAUGAAUGAAUGAAUGAAUGAAUGAAUGAAUAAAAUAAAAAGGACACCAAGAAGCUGGUCGUGAUGGUGCAUGUCUAUAAUUCUGGCAUUCUGGGAAGCUGAGGCAGGAGGAUCUGCUUUUGAUCUCAGAUUGGGUAACUUAGCAACUUAGCUAGAGGCUGUCUGUGAAAAAUAAAAAGUAAAAGGGGUAGGCAUGCAGCUCAGUACAAAGGCCCUGAGUUCAUUCCCAGCACCUGGUGGGGUGUAGCACGAGUUUGGGACAGAAACAGACAGGAGGAGGGGCCAGGGAUUUAGCUCAGUGGUGCUGCCACCUGCCUCACAAGCACAGGGUCCUGAGUUCGAUCCCUGGGCUCUUGGGAGUACCACUGUGCUCCACAGUAGCGUCCUGGGGGUCAUCUAGGCGGAGGUCAGGUCAAGCUGUGGGUGGACACUUGAAGAGGGAAGUGUGGACGGGAAACAAGGCCUCAUCUCCAAGCCCCAAGCGGGCUGCACUUCCUCUUGAGCAAGAGCUCAGCACUGUUCUAUCACGGCCCUCCGCAUCCAUUCCCGGCUUGGAGCAAGAAGGCUGUGGGGCAGGGGCAGCAAGGUGCGACCCCUUCCUCCUCCAGCAAAGACAGUCAGCAGUGGAGAAGCAGAACAGAUUCACUGAAGCCGAGUUUUACAAGACAUGGGAGCCUCACCGAACACAGACCCACAGAGCCCAGAACCUGUCCACUCCUGUGCAAUCAGCAACAGACUCCCGUGGCCCUCUGUGUGGCGGCUCCACUCUACCCCUGGUGUGGGUAGGGCCUCCAGGUGAGGGACCUACGGUCAGACGGGGGUGAAGAAUUCCUCCAGGACCAGCUCCCCCACGGGAGGCGGGAGGGUAAUUCCAGUUCUGGGUCCUAUGACCCCGCUUGGGGAAGAAGAAAGAAUUCUGUUUUCUAAGAAGGGCAGAGGGGUCAGAGAGGGCACAGCGCAGGAAGGUGGAGAAGGCCAGAGAGACCCCCACACCACCCAGCAAACUCAGAAAUGGCUGUCACUCCAUGCUGACACUGCCUUUUUGUGGGUGUCAGGUAAAGUCUGAGGCUCUGGCUUGAUUGUACCCCAAGAUACCACAAAUGUCAACGACUCCUGCCGGCAGGUAACGGGUGGGGGCACCUCUGCAGGCAGCUCCACUGGCAGUGGCCACUCAGCACACAGAAGGUCUCCUCAUUUGGCCCCGAGUCCUUCUGUGUCCCCAGGCGCCCAGGAAAGAAGGCCACAGACAGAGGAGCAGGGCCCAAGGUGAGCACUGUUCUCAACCCUGCAAGCAGCACCUAGGCCUCACCGCAAAAGCCCACCAGGAACCAGCCUGGGGGGAAACUGAGGCCACGGAGCUCGUGAGUCAAGGAGAUGCCAUGGUCACUGCCUGGUACCCAAGUUACCGUAGUACACGGGACUUUCAGAUACACUGUGCAUGUUCACUUCUCACUUAACACGGGCUGGGGGCUUCAGCCAGCAGUGCGCAGCAUGGACGGAGGCCUGGCCUGCUGAAUGCCUCGGAGGGGGCACAGAAGGGGAGUGAAAGCGGCAAAAGAGUUAGGGUGAUGGAACAUUAGGGUAAGUACUGUGUUAAGCAACAGAAUCCCUGGGACGGAAUCUCCUGGGUUCAAAUCCCACCUCUGUCACUUCCAGGCUAUGUGACCUGGGGCGAGCUGCUGAGUUCCUCUGGGCCUCACAUUUCCCAGUCUGGAAAAUGGGCCGAUGACAACAGUACUUAACAGCUCAGGGGGCGGCAGAGAGAGCCAUAUGCCCAGAACACAGGGUACUCGGGAUGCUGGAAAGGGUGGCUGGGAUGGCUCACCUCAGAGAAGUGCAAUGAGGCCGGGAGGGGGACCUGCCCAGUCACAAGGUGGCUUCACCACCAGGCAGGGAGACCCAUGCACAGACCCUAUCAGUAAACAGGCGCAUAUCUGUCUAAAUCCCUACUGCCCGGGCCUCCCACAAGUGCCCCCAAUGUGGCAGACAGGCAGCCCCCCCAAAAUUACUCCACAGCCUGUGACUCUGCGAAUGUCACCUUAAAUGGUGGGAAGGACUUUGCAUACAGGAUCAAAUGAAGGACCCUGAGAUGGAGGUGACUCUGGAUUAUCCAGGGGGCCCAAUGUCACCACUAAGGGACCUUGCUAGAGGCAAUCAGGAGGUCGGAAAAGAGGUUAGAGCAGGGCCAGGGAUUUAGCUCAGUGGUGCUGCUGCCUGCCUCGCAAGCGCAAGGUCCCAAGUUUGAUCCCUGGUACCAAAGAAAGGAGAGAUUAGAGCAAGCCCUGCCAGCUCCCAGGGACUCUGCACCCCUUUCCCACUUCGAUUUCAAAGGCUCAUAGCUGGAAGGGAAUUUUCCUCUGGGACAUUCAUGCCUAGGCCUCCCUCCUAUCUGACUUGGAGGAGACUGGACUUCGGACUGGAGCUGACCCUAGAACAAGUUUCAGCUUUGAGGCUACUGGGCUGGGAUGAGUAAGCGGCAUGUGAGACAGACCGAGGACAAAGUGAGGACACAAGACCCAAAGCAACUGCCAACACCUUGGUCUUGGACUUCCAGCUUCCAGUCCUGGAAGCUAGUAAAUUUCUGCUCAUUACAGAUUACUAGUCUCAGGUGUUGUAUCAUAGCAGCAAAGGUGGACUAAGAGUAUGGAGGAAUUUUUUUUACUAAUUCUGCAACUUUUCUAUAAACCCGAAACUAUUCUAACAUCUUUUUUUUUGGUACCGGGAAUCGAACUCAGAACCUUGUGUUUGCCAGGCAGGUGCUGCACCACUGAGCUAAAUCCCUGGCCCAAAACUAUUCUAAAAUAAAGAUUUUAUUUAAAAAAUCCCCACAUCUGCUAUCAUUUUUCAUCCAUUCACAUGGAAAAGAAAAAACCUCUGUUAGCACAGAGCCAGCCUGGACAUAGAAACUCAGUGCUCUCGCCAAGUGCUAGCAGGAGGGUAAACUGAGGCUCACCUCUGGAGGCAUCUGCCAAAAUUUAAUGUGCAGGACUCCUUAGGCCCAGGGAAUCCAACCCCCACAGUGAUCUGCACUGAGGAUAACCACACACCAGCCUAGGGUGUCUUCACGACACUGUUGCUAGGGACAGGGGACGGGCAACAACUGUCCCAGCAGACACCCGCGUGGGGAAAGGGUGUGCAGCCACCAAAAUGGAAUGAGGAAGUUUCAUGUGCGGAAAUGCAGUCAUCUCCAAGAUAUGCUGAUGCAUGAAAAAAGCCAGAACAGUGUUUACAGUAAGCCACCGUCUAUUUAUGUCCUAUUUCUUCUUAUAAUAGGAAUAAAUAUCCCUAAAGGAUACACAAAAAAGACCCGUGGGUGUCUGCAGAUCAGAAAUAGGUGGACAGACAUAGGAGGACGUGUGGGACGGACAAAAAGACAAACACUUCUGUUUGUCUUUUCUGUUGAUCUCUUACAUACAAAGACAUUAAAGCUCUCUCUUUAGUUGAAAAAAGUCUCCUCCGCAAAUCUCCCUGGCCUGGCCUCCCUCUCACCUCCCUCCAUCUCUGGGGGCGUGACGUCACCACAGCCUUUUGUGCCCUGAACUGUGUCCCUGCCCUGCCUGGCCUCAGUCCCUCCCUGUUUGCAGAGUCAUUAGAGGCUCGCCUUGCGGCCUCCACAUCCGUGUUCCACAUCCGCAGGUUCAACGAACCGAGGCUGAAAAUACUUGAGGAAAAAAGUAUGGGCACUGAACAAGUACAGACCGGUUUUCUGUUGCCGCUGUCCCCUAGACAAUGCAGUGUAAGGACUAACUGCUUACCUACAUGUACCUUAUGCUAUUGGCUAUGAGAAACGAUUCUCAGAAGCGAACUAGAUUCGAAGCACAAGGAGGAUGCGCGCAGUCUAUGCAGGCAUUAUGGUGUCGGAGGGGUCCCGGAUGUAGGUCCCCAAGGACGCCUAGGGGUAACUGCUGUCUGGGGAGAAGAUGUUCUUCCCACCAUGGCGCUGUCACGCCCAAGUUCAUCCUGGUGGCACUGCGCUUCCAGCAUUUUGUACUAUGAUUCUUUCUCACCCCGGAGGCUCUGAAGCCUGUGUGCCCUUGGGAUAGGAAGACAGGGAGAUGCAGGCGUAGACACAAAGGGAAAACUGAGUCUGAGCUCUAAGAUUUGACUGUCGGAGGGGACAAAGGCCAAGCAGGAGAAGGGAGCAGUGAGGACAAGGUCCCAAUCAGCGCCCCUGUGGGGCAGGGGAGCCUGGCGGGCCAGGAGGGCAUGGUCGAGUUGCAGAAGCCUUCUCACCUUCAGGGGGGCACCAGGCUGGGCCUUCUGGGAACCCCACAAAGGGCUCUAGUUCAAGAACCAGAAGCUGGGGCUGGGGUGAAGCUCAGUAGGAGAGCACGUGUGAGCACGCGCAAAGCCCCCCCACCCCCAACCCAGCGGCCUAAGAGCUCCUCAUGCCCCCGCCCUCCCAAAGAAGUAUUCAACUCUUGCCAAGGAGAGUUCAGUUCCUAAAAAUAAGCCUCCAAACCCAGAAUACCAGGAAAAGCCACCCAACUGCUCCCGCUGGCGUAAACACACAUCAAAGGCAGCGGGCGCAGGGCCCGGGAGUCUUCUUCGAGCACAGAAAACCACGUCUAACACACAAGCCGCGGCCUCCACGGCUGGCAAGGCUGCAUUCCACAGCCUUUCUAAACAACCCCCCAAAAGAUCUUAGCCUUUUCCUAAAAUGAAUCUCAUAUUUCCCUCUGCCUUUCUAGUCUGGGAGGGGAGAGGGGAGAGGAAAGAGGAAAGAAGAGGAGGAAAGGGAAGGGGGGGGAUGGAGGGAGGGAGGGGUGCGCUCCCCUUCACUUUGGGGGUCCUGUACCAUCCCAGCGGUGCAGCUACAAAGCUGCUGAGGCCUCCGCCCCCAGCUGAACCCAACGUAAAGGAACUUAACAGUAUUGGGGCUCAGAAAAUGAAGCUCCCAAGCACAGCUCAUUGGCAUGCUGAGCUCUCCUGCCUCUGCAUGGGGGGGCUUUCUCUGGAUCAGUCAUCUGACGUGAUACAGAUUCUGCAGCAAGAACUCAUACAGGAACCGUCAUCAUGACUCACCGCGGCGGGGGAGACCAAAGGUUGACACUUUGCACAGAAGGACUUUGUCCCAGGCUGCCACCUGUUCUACAGGCCCACUGUCUCCCUGUUCACCACCUCUAGGAGGUUCUAGAUUUCAUCUCAAGAUGCCCCCACGCCUGUAAUCAAUCUGUAACCUUUUCUUCCUGUUCCUCUGGCCAGUGUGAGUUUAUUCCAUGGACUUGAUGAAUGGGAGCCCCUGGGGGUGUAGGCAAAGCUCCUGUCCCUGCAGAGCUCGCCAGGGGCUCCAGAGAGUGUGGCUCACAGAUCUGGGCAUCAGCCUAGAGACAUUCUUCGUUCCUCCUGCCUUGGAUUUGCUUGCCUCCUGGGCUCUGGCCAAAUUCCAGAUACUGCAGGCUAACUGUUGCCGCUUGGAAAAGGAUGGCAACAUCGGUCUUGCCUUUGGCAAGGUGUAGGGAUCCCGUGCCAUGAGCGCAGAGGCCCCUGGCAUGCCCUCCCAGGCCUCUGCCCCAGGCAGGCUCCCACUCCACCCACCCUGACGAUGCUCCCUGGCACCUGCUCCCAACAUCUUCCUGUGCCAGGCAGUUUCCCUAGCAGAACCAAGGGAUGUUCCUGGGGCAAGGGCUGUGCUGAGCUUCUCCGGAUUCCCCACAGGGCCGGGGGAAAGCCCCUCACAGGACAGCUCCCCAGGCUGAGGGUCAGGUCCCCAUAUGACACCGAUAUCCUGUAUGCAACAGGUAUUUCUAGCAGGAGCUCUUCAGCAAGGUCCUUCUUCCUCGAGUACUAGGGACUGAACCUAAGGCCUUCCUUCACCCUGAGCUAUAUCCCCAGUCAAUCUGGUUUUUUUGAGACAGAGUCUCACUAAGUCACUAAAUUGCCCAGACCGAGCUCAAACUUGCAGUCCUCCAGCUUCAGCCUCCCAAAAUGCUAGACUGCAGAUGUGUACUACGACGCCUGGAAAAAAUGUCUAUUUUUAGGGUCUGGGAUAUGGCUCAGUGGUUGAGUACUUUCCUAGAAUGCAGGAGAUGCUGGGUUCCAUCCCUCGAACUGCAAAAAAGAAAAAAUUCUAUUUUUUAAAUGAGGAAAAAA